CAUUUAGAGGAAGUAAAAGUCGUAACAAGGUUUCCGUAGGUGAACCUGCGGAAGGAUCAUUACCUAGAGUUUGUAGACUUCGGUCUGCUACCUCUUACCCAUGUCUUUUGAGUACCUUCGUUUCCUCGGCGGGUCCGCCCGCCGAUUGGACAACAUUCAAACCCUUUGCAGUUGCAAUCAGCGUCUGAAAAAACAUAAUAGUUACAACUUUCAACAACGGAUCUCUUGGUUCUGGCAUCGAUGAAGAACGCAGCGAAAUGCGAUAAGUAGUGUGAAUUGCAGAAUUCAGUGAAUCAUCGAAUCUUUGAACGCACAUUGCGCCCCUUGGUAUUCCAUGGGGCAUGCCUGUUCGAGCGUCAUUUGUACCUUCAAGCUCUGCUUGGUGUUGGGUGUUUGUCUCGCCUCUGCGUGUAGACUCGCCUUAAAACAAUUGGCAGCCGGCGUAUUGAUUUCGGAGCGCAGUACAUCUCGCGCUUUGCACUCAUAACGACGACGUCCAAAAGUACAUUUUUACACUCUUGACCUCGGAUCAGGUAGGGAUACCCGCUGAACUUAAGCAUAUCAAUAAGCGGAGGA
rnacentral:rRNA from 1 species